AUUGAACGCUGGCGGCAGGCCUAACACAUGCAAGUCGAGCGGAUGAAGGGAGCUUGCUCCUGGAUUCAGCGGCGGACGGGUGAGUAAUGCCUAGGAAUCUGCCUGGUAGUGGGGGAUAACGUCCGGAAACGGGCGCUAAUACCGCAUACGUCCUGAGGGAGAAAGUGGGGGAUCUUCGGACCUCACGCUAUCAGAUGAGCCUAGGUCGGAUUAGCUAGUUGGUGGGGUAAGGCCUACCAAGGCGACGAUCCGUAACUGGUCUGAGAGGAUGAUCAGUCACACUGGAACUGAGACACGGUCCAGACUCCUACGGGAGGCAGCAGUGGGGAAUAUUGGACAAUGGGCGAAAGCCUGAUCCAGCCAUGCCGCGUGUGUGAAGAAGGUCUUCGGAUUGUAAAGCACUUUAAGUUGGGAGGAAGGGCAGUAAGUAAAUACCUUGCUGUUUUGACGUUACCAACAGAAUAAGCACCGGCUAACUUCGUG
rnacentral:rRNA from 1 species